AAGAUCGAUACUAUUCGAGAUAAAAUUGUAACCAUGCAGCCGUCAGCUACAGAUCGCCUGAGGAACAAUUAAAUAUAUUUUAUUUAAUAUUUAAUAUAUUUUUUUUCAAAUAAUAAAAAUGAGAUCAAGAUCUUUGUUAUUACUGAGACACAUUGUUGAGUUUAUGCGGGUCAUGCAAAUGUUAAUGAAUGUUAUGUUUGAUUACUCUUGUAAGACACAGGUGGUCAUGUGACGCGUGUCCUGCAGAGAAACGGGCCGAGACGCACUGGACUGAGACACACUCCGAGAGAUGAUCACGAGCAGAGUGUGAGGAUGAGGAGGAUGAGGAUGAAGAGGCGGAUGUGGGCUGGAAUACAGUGACGCAGUGGCAGGAAGGAGCUAUUUCAGUCCCGCGAUGGGAAUACAGUGGAUACAGUCUGACGUCACCAGCUCCUCCACGUCUGGACAAUGCUCUCAUCUCAUCUGAAUCACAGUCAGAUAUGGACAGUCUGGGAAUUUGCUCGACAUUCCUCCGGAGCACAAGCUCCUCCCACAUCAUCAUCACACUCACUCAGAUAUGAAGCCCAGAUGAUGAGGGCAAUGUGAUUGAUAACUUCAGCAAACCUUCAGCAAUUCCUGAACGCUGCGGCGCUUGGAAAAGCAGGAAGUGUGUUGAGUCACUCAGACACACCUGUGAUGAUGAAGAUGAAGAUGAGCCGGCCUGAUUCAUCAGAGCUCAGAUAUGAAAACACCCUGAUCAAGAGCUCAGAGCGUGACGGAACGACUGAGCCGAACAAUACAAUCAUCACCCAGAUAACAAUGAACAUAUAAAUAAUAACAAAGGACUCUUCCUGAGCUAAGAGACAUCAUCUCCCCAUUUAUAAACAUUUGUUUAAAUACUUAAAGUCGUUAAAAU
ensembl:lncRNA